CCAAGGCCGGCGGCCCCGGCGGGGGAAAGGCGGCGCGGCAGCAGCAGACGCAGCACCCGCCGCCGGCCCUGCAGAGACCCUGGGAGAAGCUGCGCCUGGAGGAGCGCGAGGCGGAGAAGGAGGCGAGGAAAGUCAGCAAGAGCAUCGACCGGGCGCUCAAAGAGCAGAAGCGGGAGUACAAGCAGACGCACCGCCUGCUGCUACUGGGCAGAGAGCUUAGGGAGCAACUGUUGUGGAAACCAGUCUUUUUGCAUUUAAGAACCCACAGUGGACAGCCCUAAUUGCUUAUUGGUACCUUAGAGCAAUAAUUUGCUGCUCGCCAGUUCUUUACACGGCAUCCAGCUUUACUGCUGUAACUGCACAAGUGUCUCUUAAACCAGGAAAAAUUAAACAGGAAACAGAAAUGUUCCACGCAACUUUAGAUCCCCUUUUUUAUAUUCAAGAGGGAUGUACGACUUUAACCCCCCAGUUGUGCCUCCUGCCAAAACCACGCUGCUGUCUGUGGUGAUGCCCAUUUC
ensembl:lncRNA